UUGCGGUUUAUUGACUUCAGCUUCUAUUUUCCUUCCAUGUGAAAAUGCCAACAUCCCAUUUGGAGAUGACAUGGAGAGCCAGAGGAGGGUAGACAUAGCCAAUCUGCUCAAAGGUGACCCUGAGGAGUUAACCACUGGUACUGAACUCUACCACCCCAUAUUUGAGGAGUUAAGAACAAGCCAACAUCCCCAGAGAAGAUGGCAGAGCAGAAAGAAGAAAGGAACCUGGAUCUUUAACAAAUUUACCAACCCUGGUUAUGACUCAGCAAGAAGACCCCCACUAGAUGCAACCCCUUGAUCUUGGACUUCCUGGCCUCCAGAAAC
rnacentral:lncRNA from 1 species